AACGAACGCUGGCGGCACGUUUUAAGCAUGCAAGUCGAAUGGCAGCAGGGGCAACUCUGUGAGAAUGGCGAACGGGUGAGUAACACGUAGGUGAUCUGCCUUGAGGAUGGGGAUAGCCCGUGGAAACACAGGGUAAUACCGAAUAAGCUGACGGGACUUUGGUUUUGUUAGUAAAGGUGCUACGGCACCGCCUUGAGAGGAGCCUGCGGCUGAUUAGCUAGUUGGUGGGGUAAAGGCCUACCAAGGCGACGAUCAGUCGCCGGCCUGAGAGGGUGUACGGCCACACUGGGACUGAGACACGGCCCAGGCUCCUACGGGAGGCAGGAGCUAAGAAUCUUCCGCAAUGGGCGAAAGCCUGACGGAGCGAUGCCGCGUGAUCGAUGAAGGUCGAGAGAUUGUAAAGAUCUUUUCUACAUGAGGAAUAAGUCUGGGAGGGAAUGCCUGGAUGAUGACGUUAGUGUAGGAAUAAGCCCCGGCUAAUUACGUGCCAGCAGCCGCGGUAA
rnacentral:rRNA from 1 species